ACUUAAGUAGUUUUUUAAAAAUAUAGAUUUGUGGUUUCUGUGAAGUUAAUUUAUUAACCUUAAGUU
rnacentral:tRNA from 1 species